AAUCAACGCUGGCGGCGUGCCUCAGACAUGCAAGUCGAACGCGAAAGUUUCCUUCGGGAAGCGAGUAGAGUGGCGCACGGGUGAGUAACACGUAAGUAAUCUACCUCGGGGUGGGGAAUAACAUCGGGAAACCGAUGCUAAUACCGCAUAAUGCAGCGGCUUCUUAUGAAGACAGUUGUUAAAGCAUUUAUGUGCCUGGAGAGGAGCUUGCGGCAGAUUAGCAGUUGGUAAGGUAAUGGCUUACCAAGGCAACGAUCUGUAGCCGACCUGAGAGGGUGGUCGGUCACACUGACACUGAAUAACGGGUCAGACUCCUACGGGAGGCAGCAGUCGGGAAUUUUGGGCAAUGGGCGAAAGCCUGACCCAGCAACGCCGCGUGAAGGAUGAAGUAUUUCGGUAUGUAAACUUCGUAAAAAUAGGAAGAAUAAAUGACGGUACUAUUUGUAAGGUCCGGCUAACUACGUGCCAGCAGCCGCCGU
rnacentral:rRNA from 1 species